rnacentral:rRNA from 1 species
AUGCGGAGGGUGCAAGCGUUAAUCGGAAUUACUGGGCGGAAAGCGCGCGUAGGCGGAUUAGUAAGUCGGAUGUGAAAGCCCCGGGCUCAACCUGGGAACUGCAUUCAAAACUGUUUAACUAGAGUAUGGUAGAGGGAAGUGGAAUUCCAGGUGUAGCGGUGAAAUGCGUAGAUAUCUGGAGGAACAUCAGUGGCGAAGGCGACUUCCUGGAUCAAUACUGACACUGAGGUGCGAGAGCGUGGGGAGCAAACAGGAUUAGAAACCCCGGUAGUCC